rnacentral:rRNA from 1 species
ACGCCGCGUGGGGGAUGAAGGUCUUCGGAUUGUAAACCCCUGUCAUUUGUGAACAAACCUUUUGGUUUAAUAGAUCAAAAGCUGAUAGUAGCAAAAGAGGAAGGGACGGCCAACUCCGUGCCAGCAGCCGCGGUAAUACGGAGGUCCCAAGCGUUGUUCGGAUUUACUGGGCGUAAAGGGUGCGUAGGUGGCCAGGAAAGUUUGAUGUGAAAGCUCCGAGCUCAACUCGGAAAAUGCAUUGAAUACUACUUGGCUUGAGGAUCGGAGGGGAGACUGGAAUUCUCGGUGUAGCAGUGAAAUGCGUAGAUAUCGAGAGGAACACCAGUGGCGAAGGCGAGUCUCUGGACGAUUCCUGACACUGAGGCACGAAAGCUAGGGGAGCAAACAGGAUUAGAUACCCUGGUAGUCCUAGCCGUAAACGGUGCACACUUGCUGUAGGAGGAUUCGACCCCUUCUGUGGCGGAGCAAACGCGUUAAGUGUGCCGCCUGGGGAGUACGGUCGCAAGAUUAAAACUCAAAGAAAUUGACGGGGGCCUGCACAAGCGGUGGAGUAUGUGGCUUAAUUCGAUGCAACGCGAAGAACCUUACCUGGCCUUGACAUGCAUCUCUAAGCGUGUGAAAGCACGUGACCCUUCGGGGAAUUUGCACAGGUGCUGCAUGGCUGUCGUCAGCUCGUGUCGUGAGCUGUUGGGUUAAGUCCCGCAACGAGCGCAACCCUUGUGUCCUGUUGCCACUUCCGCUAGCGCGGAAAGCACUCUGGACAGACUGCCUCG